rnacentral:tRNA from 1 species
GCGCCUGUAGCUCAGAUGGAUAGAGUGCCGGACUUCGAAUCCGUGGGUCGCAGGUUCGAAUCCUGCCAGGCGUA